UCUUUGUUGAGGCAUGUGGGAUCAUUCGUUGCAGUGUGCGGGCUCUUUGUUGUGGUGCACGGGCUUCUCUCUGGUUGUGGCGUGCGGGCUCCAGUGCACGUGGGCUCUGUAGUUUGCGGCACGUGGGCUCUCUAGUUGAGGCACACGGGCUCAGUAGUUGUGGCCCACGGGCUAAGUUGCCCCACACCGUGUGGGAUCUUAGUUGCCUGACCAGGGAUUGAACCUGCGUCCCCUGCAUUGGAAGGCGGAUUCUUUACCACUGGACCUCCAGGGAAGCCGCCUAUCUUAACCAUUUUUAAGUGUGUUGUUCAGUACUAUUAAGUACAUUCACAUUGUUGUGCAACCAACCUCCAGAGCCCUUUUCAUCUUGCAAAAUUGAAAAUCUACAGCCAUUAAAAAGCAGCUCUUCAUUCUUCCCUCCUCCCAGGUCCUGGCAACCACCAGAAGAAACCGACUACCAGAAACCAUUCUGCUUUCUGUCUCUAUGAAGAUGACUACUCUCAGUACCUUAUAUGAGUGGAAUCAUCCAUCCUUUCAACAGCCCUGUGAGGUAGAUACAAUUGCUGCCGUCUAAGAGGGCAGGAAACUGGGACACCGCAGUGAUUUGACAAAUGUUUCCAGGCCAGAGUUCAAAGCCUAGAGCACUAGUGUGAAGAUGUAGAGCUUGGAGUUGUAGCAGCCACUACGUGACAAUGAGGUGACAAACCUAAGGACAAGAAGCCUAAAGGAUGUUAGAAAGAGGAUGUGUCUUGAUGACAGCAGAGAUCACUGAGCCCCAAAACCAGCUCCAGGACUGCGGACUUCCAGACUUCUUGUUACUGCAGAUAAACCAAGGUCUACAAGGCUUAAGCCACCGUUGCUCAGGAAUUCUGUUACUUGCAGCCAAAUAUAUCCUAACUGAAUUAUUCCCCAGCUGGGUUUUAAGUUCCUUGAAGAAGGGAUACUGUUUUAAAUUUCUUUGUAUCUGUCAUAAUACUAUGGAAGGUUUUCAUCCACAGGGUAGGCACAAAUGUAUUGAAUUAAUACAUGAAUAGACAGAAGAAUAAAUA